ACAACAACAUUCGGACCGUCGGUCUACCGAGCAAUAUCACCCGCUCGGUGGAAGAUCUUCACUUUGUCGUAAGCC
rnacentral:pre_miRNA from 1 species